AUUGAACGCUGGCGGAAUGCUUUACACAUGCAAGUCGAACGGUAGAGGGGGCAACCCCUUGCGAGUGGCGAACGGGUGAGUAAUAUAUCGGAACGUGCCCAGUCGUGGGGGAUAACGUAGCGAAAGUUACGCUAAUACCGCAUACGAUCUAAGGAUGAAAGCGGGGGAUCGCAAGACCUCGCGCGACUGGAGCGGCCGAUAUCAGAUUAGGUAGUUGGUAGGGUAAAGGCCUACCAAGCCAACGAUCUGUAGCUGGUCUGAGAGGACGACCAGCCACACUGGAACUGAGACACGGUCCAGACUCCUACGGGAGGCAGCAGUGGGGAAUUUUGGACAAUGGGCGAAAGCCUGAUCCAGCCAUUCCGCGUGCAGGAUGAAGGCCCUCGGGUUGUAAACUGCUUUUGUACAGAACGAAAAGGUUUCUAUUAAUACUAGGAGCUCAUGACGGUACUGUAAGAAUAAGCACCGGCUAACUACGUG
rnacentral:rRNA from 1 species